rnacentral:lncRNA from 1 species
UGCGUCUUGAGAAAAUGGUGGAAGAGUCAGAUAUUAUGCACGGCGCCAUCCGUAGUGUAGAUAUGGAUGAAGGUGUUUUCGGAAUUGCUCAUUCCGAAUUAAUUGCAAAGGAGGACAUGUAACAACUUUUUGAACACGAGAAUUGGACAUCGCUGUCAUUCAUACAUACAUAUGGUACUCCGACAAUCUGAUUAUUUACUUAGUUGAACAAUUUAUUACACAUUUCAAUGAGUAGUCAAAUGUUUAUUAUGUUUCUAUUUAAGGUAUAUGUAUGACACAUUGAUGCGGGAACUGAAUUGUGUAACCGAUUCAAUUUUAUUGCUGCUUCCCGUAUCAACACAACGUUUAUAACGAAAAAUCCAACAUCCGUAAUGAAUGAACUAGUCGAUAGAUUCAUGGUGGCCG